rnacentral:lncRNA from 1 species
UGGAGGAGGGAGUAGCUUAGUCCUUGUUGAUGUAGAAGUAUCAGUACUCUUAGUUAUAAGAGUUAUGUUAGUUGAUCAUGUCAUGGAUGCCUCUUCUUUAUUUUUGUAUCAUGAUAGAGGCAUUCACCAAGUUUAUUUUGGUAACAUGAGAGUCAUGCACCUACUAUAUCAAACUCGACCCAGUUUGUAUGAAUUAAGUAAUUUUUAUGUAUGGGAGCUCUAUCUCGUCUAGUUUAGCAUUUGAUAAAGUUCAUCACCAAUGUAGGCGUCAUCAGAAUCAUCUUCAUCUUAAUGUUUUCCAGAAUCAAAUGGAUAUUAGUUCAC